rnacentral:rRNA from 1 species
UACGUAGGGUGCAAGCGUUGUCCGGAAUUAUUGGGCGUAAAGAGCUCGCAGGCGGCUUGUCGCGUCGGCUGUGAAAACCUGGGGCUCAACCCCGGGCCUGCAGCCGAUACGGGCAAGCUAGAAUUCGGUAGGGGAGACUGGAAUUCCUGGUGUAGCGGUGAAAUGCGCAGAUAUCAGGAGGAACACCGGUGGCGAAGGCGGGUCUCUGGGCCGAUAUUGACGCUGAGGAGCGAAAGCGUGGGGAGCGAACAGG